UGUCCCAUGGUGUAACGGUAGCACUCCUGAUUUUGGUUCAGUCAGUCUAGGUUCGAAUCCUGGUGGGACAA
rnacentral:tRNA from 1 species